UUCGCAAUGCCCGAAAGGGUGACGAAGCGACGCCGCGUGGGUGAGGAAGGCCUUCGGGUUGUAAAGCCCUGUCAGGAGUUAAGAAAUGUAAGUGCGCUAAUAUCGCAUUUAUUUGACGAAGGCUCCAAAGGAAGUCACGGCUAACUCUGUGCCAGCAGCCGCGGUAAUACAGAGGUGGCAAGCGUUGUUCGGUAUUAUUGGGCGUAAAGAGCACGUAGGUGGUUUUGUAAGUCAGAUGUGAAAGCCUUCUGUUCAAAGGAAGAACGGCAUCUGAAACUACAGAUCUUGAGUGUAGGAGGGGAGAGUGGAACUUCUGGUGGAGCGGUGAAAUGCGUAGAUAUCAGAAGGAACGUCGGCGGCGAAAGCGACUCUCUGGCCUAUUACUGACACUGAGGUGCGAAAGUUAGGGGAGCAAACGGGAUUAGAUACCCCGGUAGUCCUAACCGUAAACGAUGGGCACUAAGUAGAGGGGUUUU
rnacentral:rRNA from 1 species